rnacentral:lncRNA from 1 species
GUUUUUAAAACUCAUAAAACUUUUAAAAAUAAAUUUUAUCAAAUAUUUAAUUGAUUCUCUUCACAGUUAAUUAUUUCUACAGCUCAGUUAAUAGCAAUUAUUUUACAAGAUACAACAUUAGUGAACCGGCCCUUACUCCAUUAAGACAUUUGCCAUUGCUUCUUUCUUAUCCCUCACUAAUAUUUGGUCUCUAGAUCUAACUAGAGGUAGCCAAUGGGCCGGACGGCACGAGGCACGGCACGUGUCCGUACAACACAACACGGCACGAGCAUGUCUCAGCAGAGCACGCGACACAGCAUGGCACACACGUGGGCCGUGCCGGGCUUAGAUUUUAGGCACGCGGGCCUUAAAAGUACGGCACGAUUAGAGAUGAGCCAAAACACGGCAUGCGAAAAAGCAUGCAAUAAGCACGUUUCAUUUUUUAAUGAAAGUAAAUUUAAAAUUUUAUGAUUUUAUAAAUAACUUGAAAUUGAAUCUUUUAAUAUAUUUUAUUGGCUCAAGUUUUUUAAAUUUAUUUAAUUCUU